rnacentral:tRNA from 1 species
GGCCGUUACCGCCUGCUGGUUAAGCGUCUGGCUGGCCGCCCCCAUAGCGGUAUAAAUUGCGUGAUCCAUUAAGCUA